rnacentral:rRNA from 1 species
GGACGGGGGCCCGCACAAGCGGUGGAGCAUGUGGUUUAAUUCGAUGAUACGCGAGGAACCUUACCUGGGCUCAAAUGUAUGUUGACGUAUUCUGAAAGGGAUACUUCUUCGGACAAUAUACAAGGUGCUGCAUGGUUGUCGUCAGCUCGUGCCGUGAGGUGUCGGGUUAAGUCCCAUAACGAGCGCAACCCCUAUCAUUAGUUGCCAUCAGGUCAAGCUGGGGACUCUAAUGAAACUGCCUACGCAAGUAGUGAGGAAGGUGGGGAUGACGUCAAAUCAGCACGGCCCUUACGUCCAGGGCUACACACGUGCUACAAUGGCCGGUACAAAGGGCAGCUACCUGGUGACAGGAUGCUAAUCUCAAAAGCCGGUCUCAGUUCGGAUCGGAGUCUGCAACCCGACUCCGUGGAGCUGGAAUCGCUAGUAAUCGCGCAUCAGCCAUGGCGCGGUGAAUACGUUCCCGGGCCUU